AGAGACCAACAGGGAUUCCCCGAGUAGCUGCGAGCGAAACGGGACCGAGCCCAGCACCGAAUCCCCCGUCCUUGCAGGCGGUCGGGAAAUGUGGUGUAUGGGAGGCGACGUUCUCGGGUGUUUGCGACGGUGCAAGUCCCCCUGACAGGGGCUUGUCCCAGAGUGGGUGCCAGGCCCGUCUCCGCCGUUGCGCGCCCGGGAUGGAGCCUCCCGUGAGUCGUGUUGCUUGAUAGUGCAA
rnacentral:rRNA from 1 species